rnacentral:rRNA from 1 species
GAUGAACGUUGACAGAAUGCUUAACACAUGCAAGUCUUUGGCGAAGCUGUGCUUGCACAGCCUAGCCAAGGCGGACGGGUGAGUAACGCGUAAGGAACUUGCCCUGCAGUCAGGGAUAACAGACGGAAACGACUGAUAAGACCUGGUAAAGUCAGGCGGACUCAUGUCCAGCCUGAUGAAAAGAGAUGCUGCAGGAGAGCCUUGCGUCCUAUUAGCUUGUUGGUGGGGUAACGGCCCACCAAGGCGAUGAUAGGUAGCCGGCCCGAGAGGGUGGACGGCCACAAGGGGACUGAGAUACGGCCCUUACUCCUACGGGAGGCAGCAGUGGGGAAUAUUGGACAAUGGGGGCAACCCUGAUCCAGCAAUUCUGUGUGCACGAUGAAGGUUUUCGGAUUGUAAAGUGCUUUCAGCAGGGAAGAAAAAAUGACGGUACCUGCAGAAGAAGCGACGGCUAAAUACGUG